CCUACGGGAGGCUGCAGUGGGGAAUAUUGGACAAUGGGGGCAACCCUGAUCCAGCCAUGCCGCGUGUGUGAAGAAGGCCUUCGGGUUGUAAAGCACUUUAAGUAGGGAGGAAGGCUCUGUGGCUAAUAUCCGCGGGGAUUGACGUUACCUACAGAAUAAGCACCGGCUAACUCCGUGCCAGCAGCCGCGGUAAUACGGAGGGUGCAAGCGUUAAUCGGAAUUACUGGGCGUAAAGCGCGCGUAGGCGGCUGUCUAAGUCGGGUGUGAAAGCCCCGGGCUCAACCUGGGAACUGCAUCCGAUACUGGUCAGCUAGAGUAUGGGAGAGGGAGGUAGAAUUCCACGUGUAGCGGUGAAAUGCGUAGAUAUGUGGAGGAAUACCGGUGGCGAAGGCGGCCUCCUGGCCCAAUACUGACGCUGAGGUGCGAAAGCGUGGGGAUCA
rnacentral:rRNA from 1 species